GAUGAACGCUGGCGGCGUGCCUAAUACAUGCCAGUCGAGCGAACAGACGAGGAGCUUGCUCCUCUGACGUUAGCGGCGGACGGGUGAGUAGCACGUGGAUAACCUACCUAUAAGACUGGGAUAACUUCGGGAAACCGGAGCUAAUACCGGAUAACAUGUUGAACCGCAUGGUUCAACAGUGAAAGACGGUCUUGCUGUCACUUAUAGAUGGAUCCGCGCCGCAUUAGCUAGUUGGUAAGGUAACGGCUUACCAAGGCAACGAUGCGUAGCCGACCUGAGAGGGUGAUCGGCCACACUGGAACUGAGACACGGUCCAGACUCCUACGGGAGGCAGCAGUAGGGAAUCUUCCGCAAUGGGCGAAAGCCUGACGGAGCAACGCCGCGUGAGUGAAGAAGGUCUUCGGAUCGUAAAACUCUGUUAUUAGGGAAGAACAAAUGUGUAAGUAACUAUGCACGUCUUGACGGUACCUAAUCAGAAAGCCACGGCUAACUACGUG
rnacentral:rRNA from 1 species